rnacentral:rRNA from 1 species
CAGCCGCCGCGGUAAUACGAAGGGUGCAAGCGUUAAUCGGAAUUACUGGGCGUAAAGCGUGCGUAGGCGGUGAGUUAAGUCUGCUGUGAAAUCCCCGGGCUCAACCUGGGAAUGGCAGUGGAUACUGGCUCGCUAGAGUGUGUCAGAGGAUGGUGGAAUUCCCGGUGUAGCGGUGAAAUGCGUAGAGAUCGGGAGGAACAUCAGUGGCGAAGGCGGCCAUCUGGGACAACACUGACGCUGAGGCACGAAAGCGUGGGGAGCAAACAGGAUUAGAUACCGAGUAGUCCCUGUCUCUUAUACA